CCUACGGGAGGCAGCAGUGGGGAAUAUUGCACAAUGGGGGAAACUCUGAUGCAGCAACGCCGCGUGAAGGAAGACGGCUUUAGGAUUGUAAACUUCUGUUUUUAGUGAAGAAUACUGACGGUAGCUAAGGAGCAUGCCACGGCUAACUAAGUGCCAGCAGCCGCGGUAAUACGUAGGUGGCAAGCGUUGUCCGGAAUUACUGGGUGUAAAGGGAGCGAAGGCGGGAAGCCAAGUCAGCGGUGAAAACUACGGGCUUAACUUGUAGACUGCAGUUGAAACUGGUUUUCUUGAGUGAAGUAGAGGUAGGCGGAAUGCCGGGUGUAGCGGUGAAAUGCUUAGAGAUUCGACGGAACACCGGUGGCGAAGGCGGCCAACUGGGCUUUAACUGACGUUGAGGCUCGAAAGUGUGGGGAGCAAACAGGAUUAGAUACCCUAGUAGUC
rnacentral:rRNA from 1 species